AUGCCUUUCGGUGUGACGAAUGGACCACCAACAUUUCAGUGCUUGAUCAACUUAGUCUUCGCGCCAGUAACAAGGAAAUUUGUCCUCGCCUUUCUGGAUGACAUUCUGACAUACAGUUCAUCGUUUGACGAGCAUUUACAGCAUCUUCGUCGGGUCUUCGAUACUCUGCGUCACCAUCAGUUAUACGCAAAGCUCUCCAAAUGCUCAUUUGCCCAACCAUCCAUUAACUAUCUCGGA
rnacentral:rRNA from 1 species